rfam:[Clostridium] neopropionicum strain DSM-3847 CLNEO_contig000012, whole genome shotgun sequence.
AAGAAAAAAUCGAAAAAGCCGUAGACAGCAGGUGCAUUUAUUUGCGUAAGUCCUGCCGAGGAGAUUGCUGAAAUUGAGCUAUAAGCCUCUUUGUCUAUGUGCAAAGAGGCUUUCUUUAUUGAUAA